GUGCUCAUUUUGGCAGCACAUGAACUGAACUUGGAACGGUGCAGAGAUUAUUAGCACGACCUCUGUGCAAAGAUGACAUGCAAAUUUGUAAAGCGUUAAAAAAAUCA